rnacentral:tRNA from 1 species
GGGGGCAUAGCUCAGCUGGGAGAGCACCUGCUUUGCAAAGCAGGGGGUCGUCGGUUCGAUCCCGUCUGCCUCCACCA